GGGCGCUGGCCCGCCGCCAAGUUCAUCUUCCCAUGCAUGAAACGAUACAUUUAACACCUGGUUCAUCCCGGGUCACCGGCACCCGCUGUAUAUAAGCGAGGGGGGUGCUGACCAGGUGGCUCGAGCCAACAAUAAAGAGUUGAGCAGUUUUCGACAUGUCCUCAUCUAAAGAGCAUCUGGCGGUACCUUCUCCCGGUCCGCCGCGGGUGCCCAAAUGUACCCGGUGCCGCCACCACGGGACCGUCGUGCCGCUCAAGGGCCACAGUGGGUCGUGUCCCUUCCGCGCGUGCGGAUGCUGGAAGUGCGGCCUCGUCACGCAGCGGACUCGCAUCACGGCGGUACAGCGGCGGAUGAAGAUCGCCCCCGAUGACCCCCGGGACAGAGAGAGGCGGCCCGACGCGCGCGCCGCGGCGACGCGUGCCACUCCGGCCCCGCGGGAGGACGCGCCUCUGUCGGCCACAUUUAGAAUGCAGUGUCCCGCCGCCCCGGGUGGAUGUCCCCCGGGGGCAGAGAGGUCCUCGCACAGCGGGCAGGUGGUGCCCUUCGCUUCCAGGGAGUUUGCGCCGCGAAUCAGUGCCCCUUUCCUUGGUGAAUUUGGUCCGGCCGCCCCUCUGCCUGUCCUCCACGUCCCCUGGAUGUCCGGUUACCCCGGCGACUACGUGCCGCGUCCAAACAUCCUGCUCAACGUGCCGGGGUUUCACCCCGUGCCCGCUGGGCUUUACAGCUACGGCCCCCGCGGGCCCCCGGCGUUCCUCCACUACCCGCCUCCACCGCGGCCUGGGGCCGCUGCUGUGAUCCUCUGUGCACGCCAGCCGCCCCGGGAGCCGCCGCCGCCGCCGCCUCCCUCCGAACACACUGAGCCAGACGUGGAAGUGGAUUAAAGCAGCCAGCUGGUUCACAGUUUGUUAUCGAAUCUGUUCGUUUUCCCCUUCUGUUUUGUACCGAUGACAGUUCUGUUCACACUGAUGGCAUAAAUGUUUCUGCACAGUUUGUUUGUGCAAUAUAUCGAUAUUAAAUAAGGCUUUGACAUUAAAAAAAUAAGUCCGUUAUGGUUCUUAUUUUGUAUGUGUUAUUUUACUCCACAAAGAAAAAUAAAAUAUCUUUUCAUAAACA
ensembl:lncRNA